UCAAAAGUUAAAAAAUUAAACGUUGUUUAAAUAUGAUUUUUUUACGUGCAAUAUUUCUUGAUUAUUAUUGAUGUUCAUCAAAUAUUUAUUAGUUUAUUCACAAACAACGUAACAGCAUUACUUCCAUACCAUAAUCUAAGAGAAAAGCUGGCAGCAAGUUGCAACUUAACCUGCGAACUUGGCCAACUUGCCUUCGCCUUGGCAACUGUGCAAUGUGCACACAUCUGAAAUGCAUGCAAAAUAUAACGCGUCCUGGCUGAUCUCUGGCAAAACAACAUUAAAUUGAAACAAAUUGAACAUAAAAAGCAUUCAAAAUAAAGCAAACACCUCACCGACGACGACGACGACGAGGAGGGCGAUACCAGGACCAGAGUCAGAACCUGAAUCGCAAGCGAAGCUGGAACGAGAAUGAGGUGCUGCCAAAGUAAAUACACAGUCCAACACCAACACACACACGCACACACACUCAACUGGAGCCAAAAGUUUGUGGAUGGGCAGAGGAAUGGAGGGCCAGGAGACUUGUUGGAUGGGUUACUUUGGUAGUUUGAAAAUAGAACGCAAAAUCAAGCAAAGUUUAGGCCAGCGAGUAGCACAGCCCAGCGCAGGAUUUGCUGGGAAUUGUGUUUGGUAAACAUUUUCGACUCUGUUGUUUUUAAUAAGAAAAUUGGCCAAAGGCCACACACAACAGUAACAAGAACAAAGGGACUGGCAGCAGCAGCAGCAGCAGCAGCAGGAGCAGGAUUUCGAGUAGGAGCUGGAUAAAGGGCGACUGCCUGGCAGAUUGCUUUUAAAUUCAAGACCCGCUCGGUUUCAGUUUUUAUUCCAUUUAACUUAUGUGUGUUUGUGUGUGUUGCCUGGAGAUUUAUGUUUGUUUGUUUUGGGCUUGUGCUUGGAUUUGUGGGUCAAGCCGAGCGAGGACGAGCAAAGCGUUUACGAGAAUUAGUUGCUCCGCACAUUGAUAGAGUUUCAAAAGGAUGGCCGAUGAGUCGGAAAGAAAUGAAUUUUUCGGAUGCUUGCUGAAUAAAUAAACCAGACUCAACCAGAUUCCUAACCCAGCCAAAGAGUAAACAACGAAAUCAAGAUGACAUUUCCCAAACCGAUAAGAAAUCCGUAAUAAACUGCGAUAAAAUCUGUGUGUUUUCCUAUUUUUGGAAAACUAAUUCCCAAAUCAAAUGCAAACAUGCAUUCAAUAUUUUCAUAUUAAAAUGUAAAUGUAAAUAAAAUAUGAAAAUAAAAUAUGGCUGAGAACGAGAACAUCAAAAGCCAGCCAGCAAUAAAAAUCACAGUCGGAAUAAUCACUGGGGAGCUUGCCCCGCGCAGGGGAAUACCCCGCUGCAUAUGCUUAUCGACUCGGCGUAUUGGCCAGACAUCGUCGGCAGAGAAGGGUAACAACAGGAUUAUGGAGCCGAAAAGGUGCUGCUGCUGCGGAUGAUCAUAAAGAUGACGAUGAUAAAGCUGGCGACUCGACUUUGGGGCGUAAUCAAUUAGGCGACUCCAAAGGUAAACACGCAGCCUCCACGCUGAACUGCCGCUGACAGAGGCUCAGGGCAGGCGCAGGCACUGUUAAACGUGGCCUAAACGCACUUAUCGAUAAUCUGUUGCUGAUUAAUGUCGAUUAUAAUUUUCGGAAAGGUCUGGAGCGGAGCGGAGCGGAGACGGGGCCAGCUUUAAAUUAAGAGCCAAAAAUGUGCGCUGCUUUUCAGUUGAGACUUUCAUUUGCUUACUGGCUCCGCUUGAUAAAUGAUGCAAUUAUGGAAAAGCGCUUACCCUUUUGACGUGCACGAGAGCGGAUCGUGCGUUAAUGGAAAUGGUCAUUAUCCAGGGUUGUUACUUGGUUAGGAUACAGUACAAAUGUCAAUUAAUGAAGGUCGGCAUACAAAAUACAAAAUCUCCCUUAUCCGAAUACACUCAAACAGUAGCCUAAAAAAUGAUAAAUGACAAAAUAAAACAUUACUUUGAGCGAUUAUAAUUUCAAAAAAUCUAUUUAAGUUCUCAGUAGCUUUCAUCUAAAACAACACGUUUCGUUAUCCGAGUCACUUCAUCGUCUUUUAUAGCGACUAAACCGAAUAACUUGCACUCGUGUAAUAGAAAAAGCUGCUGCUUAGUUAUCGCCUUAGCCCAGUGGGGAGUGAAAUAGCCAACUAAGUAUAUACUAACUAUAUAUACAGCUGUCAGCCAUCAACGGCCAAAGUGUUGACAAAGGCAGCCGACAACAUCAGGCGUCAGCAGCUGCGGUCCAGGAUGACUUAGACAGUCCGCUCAUCCUCGCCUGGAUAGCUGCAGCAACAAAUCCAAGGUAUUUGCAACGGAAAUAAACUGCGCACAUUGCACAAA